ensembl:lncRNA
CCCGAUCGGUCUUUCGUAUGCUGAUGAGGGAGCGGUUUGGGGUUUACUGGCCUGGUUGGAAAUGAUUUAGGGCGACACCGGGGCUCUGAGGCUUUAUGCCGCCGGGGGCUCGUAUAUCACCCUGAUCAUUAAUCAAUUAGCGUCUCCGAGCCACCUGUCGGACACGUCGCCGCACAAAACAUUCCUGCCCUCGGGCUGUUGCUAGACGAUGAUCAUCAGCAGCACCACUAUUACCUUCCAGCCCCCCCCCCCCUUAUGGUAAUACCCUGAUGGAUUACAUAAUCACUGUGGGCAGUAAAUGCAGCCGUCUCCACCGCGGCACUGACGGCCGUUUGGUAUUGAUCACAUGAGCUUCUCCGUCCGGCCGUCUUUUAUCACAAAUUGUCCGUGUGGGAUAGAAGUUUCUGGAAGUUCCGUUCCACUUUUGGUGGUCCGGGUUGCUGGAGAGCUCCAUCAGGCUUUGUUGAUCUCGCGUAACCACUCGAGACGCCGCGCGGCGAUUAAAUAAAUAAGGCCGAGCUCCGUUAAAAAAAAAAAAAAAAAAGAAAAAAAACCUGCUUGAAAUACCGUUUCUUUAAAUGAAGAUUUGCAUGUAAGUUUGAACUCUCGCUGCCACUAGAAAAUCUGUUCCUCGCAGCUCUGCUUCCCCCACAAAAAGCAUUUUUCACCCUUUUUGUGUUAUUUGGAACGAAUUCUUAAAAGCAGCUGGAGAGAAAAGUGGCACCAAAGUUGGAGCCUAAUCCGCCAACCCUCAACACGGGGACACGGAGCGGGUAGAUUUGUCACGCCUCGAUGUGGCAGUGUUCUUUCAUUACAGAAGCGGCGCUCUUCACGCAGCUUAGCCAAACCAAACGGCUCAAUCGGCCUCGUGAGGAAGGUCUACGAGGAAGAGGACGCAGCGAGGCUCCUAUCUGCGAAGCCAGAAAAGCCCAGUUGGUCCUACCUGUGCUCCGCUCUUAAGGGAAAAAUGGACACUUUCAAUCACAAAGGGAUUGGAGGGUAAAAGCCGCACGCCGUGUGUGCAAAGUGUGUAACAAAGUUCCCUUUUUUCUCCAAUUCUCUUUCGUCUUUUAAAGCCAACCGGUCCAGGAAAGAAGCCAGAUGCCGACAUCAUCAGGUGGAUUUUCAAAAGAACAAAAGAUCCUCUGCGAUUCUUUUCACUGCCAUUUCAUGCAGCGUAGACCCUCACUACGUGUGUGUGUGUGUGUGUGUGUGUGUGUGUGUGCGCGUUAACACCGCCCUGUCAUUGGUAUUUCAACCAAAUUAAUUCCCUCACACUUUCUUCUACUUACUCAAAGUGACGUCCCAGAAACCAACUGAAGCUGACAACAUAUCAGAUGUGGCUCAUCGUAUCUGAUCACAUUGACAUGAACGUAUCGAAACGGCCGAAUGUGACGAACAGAUAUUUCUGGAGAGAUAAAAAGGUUAAAGAAUGUCAAAGUGCAUAAAAACACAACAACAUAACUGCAGCCUGAGCGCGAUGAAGGCGAUGCACAUGGCACACAGGCAGGGGGGGGUGACGGGGCAAAGGCCUGACCUGUGGGGGUCAAAAGGGUGUGAGGAGCAUUUAUCACAGCUAGCUUCCCUGGGAGCCGGCCGGGGCCCACCGCUACCACCCAGAUGCCUUCAUGACAAAGACAAACACUGGAAUCCCUAAGUGGAAAAACAUGGCGUGCUGGCACACGGCGGGCCGCGGCGAGACGUUACAUCGUGCGGACGGUUUAAUGAGCGCGGCCUGGACCCGAUCAAAAGUCGGAGUGUCCGCCGCAGCCGAACAGAAGAGGCUGUAUUUCACGCUUCGCGGGAGCCGGUCCACUCAUCCGCGGAAAACAGCGGCUGGAGGACGGAGGUCCCGUGGAAGGUUCCCCCCGUGGGGGGGGGGGGGGGACAAAGACGCAAUUGAGAGCACGGGACCAGAUCCGGCGACCCGGGACUCGUAAAAAAAAAACAGCCCCUCAGGGGAACUGCCCCCCGCCGCCAGCGGUCGAAGACGCCCGGCAGCUCCGGCAUUGUUUUUUCCGGCGCCCUGGACAAGCGGAGCGGGGUGGGAGUGGGCUCCGCGGGCCAGGCGCCAGCCGGGGGACAAAAACGCGCUGUUGUGCCGGGGAGGAACAAUCGCGACGCCGCUCACGCAACGCGCUCUCGUCAAAGUGGAGACGGCGGUCCGCUUUUGCAUGAAAGACGCACACAGCCUCCUCGUGACUCGUCGCAUUGCAUUGAAAGCGAGACAAUGACUCGAAGUGAGACCGAACGCUAAUUAGAGGUCGGCAUCCCGUCCCACAUCGCCGACGCACCGAGACGAUCGACUCGCUGUCAGACGCUCUCACGAGGUCCCGAGAAUCCCAAGCCCUCAAAGCGCUCGUUAAACCAAAUAAACACCCAGCAUGCACCUCCCUUUCUACCACCGCAGACCAGCACGAGCAGCAGAGACCACGCGGCUUCGACGUACAUUCGCACCGACAGCGACUUGAACCCUCCUUCAACAACCCGACGAAGCGGCGCCGAGCUGUUUCCAGUCCGCCCGUAACGAGCGGAUGACAGCAGCCGCGCGCCCGGUGCCGAGAGGAGCGAGCACCACGCAGACGGGCCGUCAUCGCCGGCGCUCUCCUGCUCUUCGUUAGGGAGUGGACAGAAACACAACAGGCACUUCUACAACUUCACACUUCCAGACGCAACGCGAGCAGCCGCCGCCGCAGGUGCAACAACGGGCCGAGCGCCGAGAGGUCUGCAGAGCAUUUUCUCCUCGAUUUCCACAUUCCUACUGGCCGCGUUGGGCCCUCGCGCUGGAAGCGGGGCGAGCGGGUGGGGGGAGGGGGGGGGUCUGCUCCACAUUCAGAGGCACAGCUGGUAUUUCACCGAUUAACUGGGGCCUCUUUAUUGAUCUCAUGCAGCGACGGUUACUUAACAUGGUCCUAUGUAGCUCUGUAGUCAAGUCCAUGUUAAUUGCGAUAAGAAAAUCCCUCUAAGAGAGCGUUUGCUGCUGGUUCUCAUGUACACGCACACACACACUUUGGUUAUGGAACCUUUGGAAUCAUGGCCAUUGAUGCAUUUUUUAUAGAUUGUAUUAGAACUUUGUUUCUCAUAAUCCGUGUGAACGCGUUCACCCUCGACGCCCAACAUUGCAUUCGCAAGGAAGUGAAUCGCAAAACAGCAUUAACCCAUUUACAGCAGUUACGGUUAUUUUAAAUACAAAAAGCAAAGUCAAUUUGUGUUUGAAAAAAGAGCCGGUUGUAUUUCAGUGUCUGCAGGUGAUAAAUGCCUCUAAUGUGCUGAACUCAGCAUCUUGUCCUUACGGUGGAUGAGGAGUCUCGAUGCAUAUCUGCUCGCCGCAUCAGCCGCACACUUGUUUUCUCUGUGGACAGCACACGAAAAAAUACAGGCCGACGACAACAGUGAUUCACCAUGUUUACUUUGAACAAAGCGACUUCGCGUAUCCCAUCAUGCAAAAAAAGAAAAAGAAGAAAAUCCCAAAGUUCGGACAACAACAAGGCCAAAGAGGGGAGUGGAAACGGGACAAAGAAGACUCUUGAUGUGUGACUGCGAGGUCGUCCAGGACGCGCAGAGACGCCUCCUGGAUCACAGUCAACACAUUUCACCCGCGGGUCUUCCACCUUCAUUUAGAUGAAUAUGGACCUCCUCGAGAGGAAAUAAAGCCAUUUUGAACCCCCCCCCCUCGACAACGAGUCGGCCGUCCAUAAUGUGCCCCGUCAAUGGACUGUGGGUUUAUUCAACUGCAGGCCGCCCCCAGCACAGCCAUAAAUAACAUAGGGCAGCUCACAUGAAACCCUAAUCACCAUUGUGCUGUCACCCAACAGACAAGACUGCUUGUUUAAUUUACUGCAGCGCAUCGGUCUCAGUUCUGCCCAAUUUGGUUUCACAAUUCCAAUGGCCAAGUACUCCUGGUGUAUAUUUAUCAGUGUGCUUUUCACCCAAAAGCCAUGAAUUAAUAAGAAGGCAACGUCUGUGUCUCCGGGUCGGCGUGCACGUGCUCGUUUUGGCGCGACGGUAAGUGGGCGUGUCACAAAAUAAAUAAAUAACGAAUGCCAUUGACACUUAAUAACCCCCGGGCUCAUUAUUGGCUGUAUACGACACACUUUAUUAUUAAAUUACCACCCCAUUAGCAUGCAGACAUUUGCAUAUUGCAGUCACUGCUUACAGAGGCAGUAGAUCAUAAGUGGCAGCCAUAUGCUGCCUAGUGUGCCAUCUUACAGAAUUAUUACUGCGACACAAAAAGCCGAAAGGAAAAUGGAAAUCUCCUUGACACCAAAAAGAAAUGAAAAAGAAGAAGAAAAAAAAGAAAAGGCAAAAGGAUCUGCCGUUAUUUAUGUCACAGUCGGUCUGACGGAACGAUCAUUUACACCCUCCAGAGACGCUUCCCCGCAGACGAAGAUCCACGGGCCGCUCAGGUGGGACCACCUGCCGCUUUCCUCCCACGAUACACGCAGAACACCAACGGCAAACAACAAUGCAUGGACCAUGACUUACUGGGGGGGGGGGGGUUCAGCUUGACGUCCCCCCGGCUGCAAAUACCGCUCCGGUUUUCAUGGAUUAUUGUUCUAACCUGAGGUUGAUCGUUUUAUCGAAGUAAUAAUAGUUUUUGGGGACAAAAAAUACCAAAAAUGCAGCUUCUCCAAUGUGAAUAUUUUCUACUUUUCUCACUGUUUAUCAUUACAAAUGGAAUACAUUUGGGUUUUGGACAGGAGGACAAUAAACAACAAAUUGGAAAAAUAAUAUGUUCAGUUCAGUUGAAACCUGAGAAAACUUGUUUUAACUACUCUACCAUUUUCAAAUGAAUAAAUGAGACUAAAAUUAUAGGUUAAAUUACAUGAAAAAUACAGGUUUGGUUCAGCUGGACAACCAACCAAAAAUCCCAGCCGGGUACGGACACAUCUGGCCCAGAGCCACGCUGCUUUCAUCGAGCGCCGUUUAAGGACGUCCAAGCGACAGCGGCCAUCCGGCUCGUGGCAGCAGAGGGUUAACUUGGCAGCUCGGCUGUUCAGUGCAGCUCUUAAAAAGAAUAUUAACGGCACGUCCCUCGGUGCAGACGGCGCAACAGGAAAAGGGAGGAGAAAGGCGGGGAUGGAGGGAGAGAAAGGCGAGCAGCAGAGCGGGGUGGGUGUGUGCCAUUCCAAUUCUUCAGCGACUCUGCGCUCAGGAUUACUGUUUCGGGGAAGGAACAUAUCAUCUGUCAAAGUUAAUGGCAGGGUCCCAGGGAAAAGGAAGGAAAAAUAGAACGGAGACCAAUCAUUAGGAAGGAGGCUGAUGGGGGAGGCGGAGGCGGUUGAAUCCAACGGUCUUCUCCGCCGUCUCCCCGGGAAAAUAAAUAUACACUUAAGGGCCUCACACUUAAAAGAGAUAAUAUUAUUAUUAAAAAGGGCCCGAGCGUGGAGCCGUCGUCUGGGACAAACGAGGUCGGACUGGCGUCCCGGCCGGCCAACAGGCCCGGCCAGCCCGUCUCUCACUCAGAGCUGUGGAUGUACUCCGGAGAAGCAAUUGAUACCAUUGUUUUAUGGAGAGGAGGGCGGAGGGGGAUUAACAAACCAACAAUCGGGUUCUUUCACUGCAAAUGUCAGCCGUCACGCCGGGGAACCGUCCGACUGGGCAGAGAAAAAAGCCAAGUUGCGAAAUGGAGUGUGGAAAAAUAGUAUGAAACCCCUGUGACGAGGGAAAGGAAGCAGUGUGACGUGCUCCAGAACAUUCCCGUGCCAAUUGGUAGAAUGCAACCUCAAACAGGCGAGGGGGGGGGCGCUACAAACACACAUCAUGUGAGAUCAAGUCAAACAGGGACACAAGGCUUUCAAUUUGUUGUUAAAUGCUGUGUGUGUGUGUGUGUCUGUGUGUGUUGUCUUGAGGAUGUGAUCGUUGAAAGAAAGGCAGCACAACUUCAUUCCAAGGAUUCCAAGGUCCACCAAAACACGCGGCGGCUGGAAACACAUCAAUAACCAGGAUAAUAGGUUAUGUGGGUCUUUAGCGCGGCCUCAUUAGGAGAAAAAAAAGAGGAGACAAACCGUGGCCUGAUUCCUCAGGCAAAUUAACACAGUGAGGAAACCUAAAAUAUCACAAACGACGAUCCGUCCUGGGACGUUUCAUCAUGGGACUUACAGCGGAGCGAAACAAAGCUUUGAUAACCCCCCCCUGGCGUUGGACCUCUUUGAAAAAUCGGGUGAAUAUCAAGGGCUGAACAAAGGUACCCUGGGUGAAUAUUAAGGGCUGAACAAAAGGUACCCUGGGUGAUUAUCAAGGGUUGAACAAAGGUACCCUGGGUGAAUAUCAAGGGCUGAACAAAAGGUACCCUGGGUGAUUAUCAAGGGCUGAACAAAAGGUACCCUGGGUGAAUAUCAAGGGCUGAACAAAAGGUACCCUGGGUGAAUAUCAAGGGUUGAACAGAGGUACCCUUGGUGAAUAUCAAGGGUUGAACAAAAGUACCCUGGGUGAAUAUUAAGGGUUAUACCAAAGUACCCUGGGUGAAUAUCAAGGGUUGAACAGAGGUGCCCUGGGUGAAUAUUAAGGGUUGAACCAAGGUACCCUGGGUGAAUAUUAAGGGUUGAACCAAGGUACCCUGGGUGAAUAUCAAUCAGGAAACAUUUAUUCUCAUAAUAUGUCAGACAUACAAGGAAUUUGACUUGGCGGGUUGAACCGAGGUACCCUGCCGCUUUAAGGCCAAGAUGAAGCAGCGCUUCUCCCACACUGACCUAAUUGCUCUCUCGCUCUCCCAACGUGAACACUGGCAGCCGUGCACUCUGACAUGUAAAGAUUGUUUAAUACCAUCAAAGCCAUAAAGAGGAGGAAUAAAAAGCAGCGAGGGGAAAAAACAGAGAAGGGGGGGGGGUGUAACACACGCGUGGGCAGUCCAGAGAGGCUGCGUGGAAGAACAGCUGAAGGAGAAUCAGUAUGCGAAGGCGGGCGCCCGUCUAACUGCCGCCGGCCGGCGCGUGUGGAGCUCCGCACGCCCCAACAUCACAGCCCCCCCCCCCCCACAGAAAGAUCCCACUGGGCUUCAGCUACGCUCCCGGUCUCGGCUCCCACCCUUCUUUUUCCCACACUCGCCCCGGUCCCUAGAAGGCAGCGACUACGUCAUCGGGCACCACUGCCAAACCGCUGUAAUGUCCCAGUUGAGUUCUACCGGUUCUAACAGAGCCUCAUUUAGGCCCAGGCUGGUUUUAUCACGGUUAGGCUACACUGGCCUUCAUUUUUAGAAGUAACCCUAAUAGGGAUUGGGCCAAAGACUUCCAACGAGCGGAGCUAUUCUUAACGGUGGUGGAGUGGUGAACAAAUCAAAACAAAGCGUAAAAAGAUAGCCCACUUUUUCUUGCCCCCCCCCUUAUUUACAGUAAGUGAAACUAAUUAUUUCACAAUAAUUACUUCCUAAACCAGACAGCCGCUCCUUUCCAGUGUCAUUCACACAGGACUUUACAAUCUGAGGAGAAAGGAGAUGUUCUGAGCUUUUCUGUUUUAAAUAUAUUACUCCAAGAAACAGUACUAAAUCAUUCCUGGUCCAGGAGGCGGCGGCGUGAGAAAAAUCCCAGCUGUCAACAAUGAUUUGAAGUUGUCAUUUCUCCAUAACUUCCUCAUUACGUUAGAUCUUACGAGGGUUAGUUUGAGGUGGGGUUGCAAUAGGCACUAAUCCACGGAAUAACAAUCCAAAUUAACCUUUUCAAUAUAAGUUAACCCUGGGCCUACGUUUUUGAGUGGCUACGAUGCGGCUUUCUGCAGCAGCAUUGCUUUGCUUCCUGGUACUCUCGUCAUGCUGACCACCGUCUGCCGUAGAAAAU